AGCCUCCAGCCCCGGCGCCCUCUGUCACGGGGGCAUCUCUCCACGCCCACCCACCCUGCACCAGUAGAGCUGGCAGCUCGUUUCUCCAGGGCCCUCUAAGUGUUUUGCACUUCCUAGGGGAAGGGAAGCAGGAGGCAACGCUCUAAGACUGAAGAGACAAUCCAACCCAAACUGGUGGAAGGAGUUCUUCCCUGGAAGGUCCCAAGGCUGGUGAAAUCACAGGCGGAGCCCCUGAGGCCUGGAAAUGCUACAGUGUAUGCAUGUAUGUGUGUAUGUGCACACGUGCUGAGAACCCAGAGAGCCCGAAUGGCUGAUGGACGUGUUCCUGGUACUUGGUAUCAGAGAAGCUGUUUGGGGCAGAGGGACCCGCCUGCCUCUGCUCGGAUGACAACCUGCAGACGGCCCUUGUUUGCCUCCAUCCACGGCCACCUGCUUUCCACCCCUGGGGCGAUUCCAUAUCCUUACCGCCUUCCACAGCUAAUGAGGCUUCGGGG